CCGCGACCGGGAUCCGGAGUGUGUCGGAAAUACUUGGUUUAGUCUGCAGGUGUGAACACUGAGCCGCGUGAGCCUCCGGUGCAUUGUGGGUCACGCAGCAGACACGCACGGAAGAGCAGAAGAACCGAGCCGAGGAAGCUCCGCGCCGCGAGGCUAGCGGGAAAUGACCCCUCGAGGACCACCGAACAGGCUGCAGGUUCCAAAAGCUGCAUGAGCCUCAUCACACUGACCGGCGAGCGUUCAGGGACUCCUGUGACGUUUAGGAAGACGUAGGCAUGACCUCAACACAGCCACUCCCCUCCCAUCAGCCCCCAGAGGAAGAUGAAGACGAGGAAACCUUCCAGUUUGGCACCAAACCUCCAGACAUGUCUUCUUCUUACUCGUCCGUCAAGUCUGCAGAUGCAGAUCUGGAGCAUCUUUCUGCCAUUAGGCAGGUGGGCGGGGCUUCAGGAGCCGGCUCAGGUAAGCGGGGCUGCCAUGUUGUGGAUUUUGUUUUCAGUUGGUCGUGAAAUAUUUAAACCUUCUGUGGCAGAUGUGGAGGUCAGGAGGUCACCAGAGGGGUAAGAGAGAGUGGCUCACAGGAACCACCUCAGUGAUGUUAGAGUUGUGUUUGUGUAACUCGUUCAAUAUUUGUACGGUGGAUAAAUAAAGUACUGUCGUGUGUUUUUGUUGUCUUUCUUUGUUCUAAUAGUUCAAGUGUUUGUUUGUCAUUGUAGUUUUUUUUAGCAUUUGUAGUUUGUCACCAAACCAGCACAGAGAGACGCGUGCACAGUAAACACGGAGCGCACAAACACAAACAAAACACUGGGAAUAGAUUCCUCUGACUGGACAACACAAGCUGGAGGCUGACUCCGCCCACAGCCAAAAUGGGAGAAUCCCGUAAGAGGGGAGGG